AACUUCUGAAUGUUGACCUCGGAUCA
rnacentral:rRNA from 2 species